rnacentral:rRNA from 1 species
AGUGAACGCUGGCGGUAGGCCUAACACAUGCAAGUCGAACGGCAGCACAGAGGAGCUUGCUCCUUGGGUGGCGAGUGGCGGACGGGUGAGGAAUACAUCGGAAUCUACUCUGUCGUGGGGGAUAACGUAGGGAAACUUACGCUAAUACCGCAUACGACCUACGGGUGAAAGCAGGGGAUCUUCGGACCUUGCGCGAUUGAAUGAGCCGGUGUCGGAUUAGCUAGUUGGCGGGGUAAAGGCCCACCAAGGCGACGAUCCGUAGCUGGUCUGGGAGGAUGAUCAGCCACACGGGAACUGAGACGCGGUCCAGACUCCUACGGGAGGCAGCAGUGGGGAAUAUUGGACAAUGGGCGCAAGCCUGAUCCAGCCAUACCGCGUGGGUGAAGAAGGCCUUCGGGUUGUAAAGCCCUUUUGUUGGGAAAGAAAUCCAUCUGGUUAAUACCCGGGUGGGAUGACGGUACCCAAAGAAUAAGCACCGGCUAACUUCGUGCCAGCCGCCGCCGUAA